UACCCCUCUUUCUUUUUCUAUGUAUUUCCUUGCUUGUUUUAUGUUACAGUCGAAUUCGGAAUUGAGGCGUAAUUAAUUGAUUUGUGUUAAUUUCUUAAAUGACCCAAUUUUGUAUUAUUUGAUUUGGCCAGCCGAAGCACAUUGGAAAUGAGGUAUGGGAUAAGAAGAUUAUGGAGAUGCUACCUGAUCCUUCAUCUGCACCUUCUAAUUAGAGCAAGAUUCCCAUCUUACGUAAUUGGAAUAUAAAGCCAAAAGGAAGUUGCGACUGCCAUGACAUGGCUCCAAGGUCUUGCAUAGUGAAGUCCCUUGCAUUGCUGUGUUUGAGAGAGCAACAGAUAACGACGGCGCCUAUGAAAUUCUCAGGACCUGUGGGAAUAAGGAAAAUGUCUUAAAGUUCUCCUUGGGUGAACUCAUGUUGAGAGGACUUUACAUCAGUUUUCUUCCUUCACUUGAUGGUUUGUCCGCGGGUGAUGAACCUUAAACGUUAAGGUUAAUUGAAUGUGCCAGAAAAAUAACAGAACAACGUUGAGCUAAAAGAUUUGGUGAUUGUUAUGGAAAUUAAUAUUUUUGGCCUGGUUUGCUUGGUAAUUUGGUGAGGUUUUGGUUUGUAGUUGGACUUGAUGGAAUUAUGGUUUGCUUGGUAAUUUGGUGAGGUUUUGGUUUGUAGUUGGUCUUGAUGGAAUUAUGGUUUGCUUGGUAAUUUGGUGAGGUUUUGGUUUGUAGUUGGUCUUGAUGGAAUUAUGGCAAACCAUACUACUGAAGGUCCUGAAAAUGCUCUUAACAUCA